AUUUCAUUCAGUUGCAAUCUGAAAAAAACAGCAUUUCCUGUGUAACUUGAAAACUGUUACUGGGCUUGUGGUGAGAUGCCCCUUCUCCUUCUCCCUCUGGCGCUGGGCCUGGGGCGCACCCUUGUGCUCCGCCUGGCGCUGGGGGGCUCGGAGGCGCCUGCUGCCGCUGCUGCGCCGCCUGGGCUCCCGGCUCUCCUCCCGAGAGACCCGCCAGGCCCUCCUCGGCUGCCUCCUCCACUGCCUCCUCCGCCUCCUCCGCAAGAAGCAGCCCGACCGACACUGAGCAGCAGCAGCAGCAGCAGCAGAGAGCCAGCCCCUGGGGAGCGGGAAAGAGGCCUUCUUGGAGCAGCAUCGAGAGUCAGGAUGGCCAUCUGUCGAGGUGCUUGGAUUGAGAGUUCCUGCAUGGCAGGGGUUGGACUGGAUGGCCCUUGAGGUCCCUUCCAACGCUACGAUUCUGGGAUUCUAAAGAGGAGGAGGAGGAGGGGAAAGGAGUAGGUAGAGGGGUCUUGUAGCGCCUUUGAGAGUAACUAAAGAAGAGGAGGAGGAGGAGGAGGAGGUAGGGAGAUCUAGUAGCCCCCUUGGGACUAAGUAAAGAAGAGGAGGAGGAGGAGGGCGUCCCAGCCUCCCCCCCGCCUCCUCCCAAACCUGCCCGAGAAGGUGAAGGGGGCACCUCCUCAGGCUCCUCCUUCCCAGCCCUGGGCAGGCAGGUGGGCAGCCCUGGCAGUGGCCGCCCCUGAGCCCCUGCUGCUGCUGCUGCUGCUGCCCUGGCUGAGGAAGGGGAAGGUGCGGAGGGCCAAGGCCUCUCCCCCAGGACCUUCAGCCCCAGCUCCCGGAGGAGGAGGUUCUGGCUCUGGCUCUGAUCUGCUGCCCCCAGGCAGGGCCCUGCUCCCCGCCUGUCUCUGCCUUCUCCUGCCGCCGGUGGAGGGCUAGUUCCCUGGUCCCUUCUUCAGCAUCACCCAGAAAAGUCUGGCCUCCCCUGCUUGGGAUCCGAGGAGGGAGGCCGGGGGCCCUUUGCUUGGGGAGGCUUCAAAGCAAGCUUGAACUCUGGGAGAUCCCCCAAGAGAGGAGGAGGAGGAGGAG